GGAGGGAAGGGGGCUAAAGGAGCGGGCCAGCCCUGGCCCCUCCACGUCCCUUGAGCAAGGCCCUGAUGUACAGGGGCAGGGCUCGAGUCUCCAUGAAAGUCCUGCAGGCCUGGGCCACAGUGACCGGCCCGCUCACCUGAGUAGAGUGAUGACAGCAGCCCAGGCCGAGCGCUCAUCAUGCCCGUGAGGGUGCAGCCUGUGACCUCCCAGCAAUGCUGGGUGACACAGGGCAGCAUGGGGACGUGCCAAAAGACAGGAGCUCUGCAGGCCCUGGUUCUUCAUCUGCAAAAUGGGGGCGCUCAUUGUGGCAGGAAGAACUGAAGUCCCCCCAGGUAUGUUUAGGAAAUAGCAGGUGGGCUGUUUCACUGGCCAGAUGUGCAAGUUGAAAGGCAUUUGGGGAGGAACGUGGAGAGGAAGUGGGCUGGGGAGGAUGCAGAGGGAGGAAGGAGGGACGAAGCAGCCACUGUGAGAAGAGGAACUUGGGAGAAGCGAUGAUUAAGGGGACAUAGGUCAGGAUGGCUAGGCAAUGCUGAGCAAUCACCCUCCUCUCAGUAACUCCAAACAACAAAGCAUUGCUUCUUCCCCCCACCCCUGAUUUUAUUGAGAUAUAGUUGACAUACAAUUUUGUAUUACAUGUUUAAGGUAUACAAUGUGAUAAUUCGGUAUAUGUACGUAUUUCCAAAUGAUUAACCACACCAAUUUAGUUAACAACUAUCACUUCACAUAGCUACAAAUUAAUUUUCUUGUGGUAAGAAUUUGUAAGAUCUACUGUCUUAGUGAUUUUCAAAUACACGUUAUUGCUAACUAUAGCCAUCAUGGUGUACAUGACAUCCCUAGAAAAGGGUUGUUUCAUGUGCACACUCAAGUCCAUGGAGGGCUGGCAGGGAGAGGCAUAGGGACCCACAUUGCCCAUCCCAAGCUAGGGGAAAGAGCUCUGGAGGGUCUCAUGCUGGCUAAGGAAUGCCCAGGCCUGAACUGUGACACAAUCCCUGCCAGCCUCCAGUCACUGCCACAACUAAUCACACAGCCUCCCUGUCCCCAGGAGUCAGGAGGUGCGGUCCCACCCAGGGGCCUGAGGUAGGACUGUGCCCCUGGCGCUGUGCAAGCCCCACUUUCUAAGUCCUGUGCCUGCAGAGAAUCCUGUGACAGUCAGGCUUGGGCUGUGUCUUCCUUCCUGGGCGGGGAUUGCCCCAGUCCAAGCUGUAGCCCUGCCCACUCUCCACGCCUCUACCUGCCUCUAGCCUCCUCACUUCAGGGAGUAGUGAGGCAGGCAGGGAGCAGAGCCAAGGCACUUUUGUGUGUCAGUAAUUGUAUAUAUAAAAACAUAUCCACAAUAAUAAUUACUUUUUAUUGAGCAAUUGCAACAAGCCAGAUACAAUGCUAUUUGACAUGGACAGUUUCACUUCACACAAGCCUAGGGGGUAAGUGCUGUUGUUAUCCCAUUUUACAGAUAAGAACACUGAGACCCAGAGACAUUAAAAGACUGGACCAGGUCACCUGACUUAUUACUAAUGGGAUUCAAAGCCAAGUCUUGAGGAUGUGUUUAACCACCAGGCUUUGAAAGGAAGAGCAAUAUUGUUUAUAUUAAUAGGGCCACUUGCCUUUGUUUAGUGAACAUUCCCACUUGACCCAAAGGCCCUUUUCCCAUCCUACAUAAUUAGUCACAGGCCUGAUAAAGGCAAAUACAAAAAUGUCAUAUUGAAAUGCAUGUAAAUUCUGCCACCGACUAGCUGGGUCUCACCUCGUCUCCCUUAUGAAGAGAUGUAACACAACCCUGUUGUAUUCUUGACAAAACCUUUUAGCUGGACUCUGACUGUUAGGCAGAAAGACAGACAUAAGCAGGUGGGGGGAGAAUAAGGCCAGUGACGCCCACUAACACUAAAAGGGACUCAAAGAGUUAACCAGAUAAAACCAGAGAGCCAGAAAAGACAGUUACUUAGCUGAAGUCUCGAGAACCAGGAGGGACUUGGAAUGUCCAGACACUUCCCAGAUGAAAAACAACUUCCCAGAGGAGAAGCUUCUAAGAACAGACACGCCCCAGAUAAAAUACCGGAAGACAGGAACAGCAAGCAUCAAGUGCAGCCCAUGUCUUCUAUUUACCAAUUAGACCAGGCCCCCAAGGCCAAAGACCGUCAAUCAAGGACUUCCCUGUCCUGCCAAAAUCCCCACAAAAAGAAGCCUCACACAGGGACAAGAAGCGAGGAGAACCGACUCAACCUGUAACAUAACUAUGAGAAAAAAGACAAAUACAGAACAUGGGACAUUUCCAAGGCAACUAACUGAUCCGUUUCUUCCAAACACUUCUCCAGGGGGCAAUGUCAUGAAAGACGAUAGAAAGGCAGGGCAACCAAACGGAAGAUGAAAUGUCAUGAUGUCUGCAAUGUGCUCUCAUAUGGUUCCAGAAAAGAAGUAAUAAAGGAGAAAAAGAGAGUGUAACUCCAGGGAGAGGAAAUACUGGGGCAAAAUACAUCUAAAACUGAAAUCAGUCAAAGGGAGAAAUAGAGUUUAAAACCCGUUUAUUGCUUACAAACUGCAGUCCAGGGCUGUCUCUUUCUGCUCCAGCAGAAGCAAGGAAGACCUCCCCCUCACCUCUCAGGUCCCGAUAAGCCCUCGGUCACCCAGGUAAUUACCCACUGAUACGGAGAUGAACUACCGUUCUCCACCCCUGAGGAACGUCUGUUGAUAUGCAAAUGCACUAAAGCCAGGUGAGAUAUUCUGGAAAUAUUACAAUUUUACCCAGAGAGAGAGAAACAAAAGCAGCAAAUUAUGAAGAAAAGGUGCUCUAAGGGAAGAGUGUAUGGGUACUCAUUGUGCUGUUCAUUUCAGCUUUUUGGUAGGUCUGAAAUGUUUUCAAAAUAGACAGGGAGAAUGACAUAGGGAAAGGGAAGUUGAACAAAUCUGGUAUUUCUGAGUGCCUCCCUGUUUUCAGGUCUAGGACCAUGUAUUAGUUUGCUAGGAAUGCCAUAACCAAGCACCACAAAUUGGGAGACUUAAGCAAUACAAAUUCAUUUUCUCUGACUUCUGAAGGUUGAAAGUCCAAGAGUAGGCAGGUUUGGUUUCUUCUGAAGCCUCUCUCCUGGGCCUGCAGGCAGUGUUCUCUGCGUGUCCUCACAGUGUGUAUCCUGGG